rnacentral:sRNA from 1 species
UAGUAUUACAUAUUUAUGGUAGAAUACAGAAAAGAAUAGAGUGAAAAUCAUCCCUUGAAUCACCUAAAUCCUAAAAUAAUGACUACCUAACACCUGAGUAAAUAUGUCUCCAGACCUUUUCAGUGUGCAUGUGUACAUAAGCUUGUAUUUUUCAUAAAAAAGGAAUCCUGAUACAUACUUUAUAACAUGCUUUUUUUCAUUUAACAUACUGAGGCAUUUAAAAUUUUCAGUUUGUUUUUAUUGUAGCAAACAUGUAGUAAGGGUUUGGUUGGCUUUCAAUGGAUAAAAGGACAGUAUCCAAAGGGGGGUUUGAAUUUCCCACUUCUGGGAACAGACUCCUAUUAAAGUUCCAGGGGACUAUCUGCAGUGGGGUGCGGAACAAAAGAUAUCAGCAGUGCUCAUCAUUGUAGUAACUUGGGUAACUCCUCCAAGUACUUUGUGUGACUAUCAGAAAUCUUUGGAAUUUUUUAAUGUACAUUCUUGAAAUUCUGAAUGUACAAAUAUGAGUUCCAUUUAAAGUUUUUUUUUUAAUUUUAAGUCUUGCAUCCAUUAAUGUAUUCUCUUAAACUUUUAUCCUUAUAUAUUUAUAGCUCUGAAAUCUUGGCCACUAGCACUAUGAGGAAAACAUGCCUGAAAUUUAUUUUUAUACAUUACCAACCCUUUUUGUUUGUUUUUUUGAGACAGGGUCUCACUGUCACUGAGGCUGGAGUACAGUGGCAUGGUCUCAGCUCAUUGCAACCUCCACCUCCCGGGCUUAAGCAAUCUCCCCACCUCAGCCUCCUGAGUCGAUGGGACUACAGGCACAUGCCAGCACGCCCAGCUAAUUUUUGUAUUUUUAGUAGAGACAGAGUUUCACCAUGUUGCCCAGGCUGGUCUUGAACUCCUGGCCUUAAGCAGUCCUCCCUCCCACCUCAGCCUCCCAAAGUGCUGGGAUUACAGGUGUGAGCCACCAUGCCUGGACUGCAUUACCAACUCUUGGGACUAUAAUUUUUCAUGUUUCCUUUGAAGUAAUCUCCUUAACUACAAAUCAGUUCUUAUCAACAAAUAUUUAUAAACCAAAUAUGAGUUGCUUGAUUAUGUUUCAAAUAUUAAUCAUGUUCUGUGUAGAACUCUUGGAAUAUAAUAUACAGCAGAAGCAGUCUCAAAUGCUGGAGAUGCAAGUGGAGCUCAGCAGUAUGAAAGACAGAGCAACAGAACUGCAGGAGCAGCUGAGUUCUGAGAAAAUGGUGGUUGCUGAACUGAAGAGUGAGCUUGCACAAACUAAAUUGGAACUAGAAACAACACUCAAGGCACAGCAUAAACACCUAAAAGAAUUGGAGGCUUUCAGGUUGGAAGUUAAAGAUAAGACAGAUGAAGUACAUUUGCUUAAUGACACAUUAGCAAGUGAACAGAAAAAAUCAAGAGAGCUCCAGUGGGCUUUGGAGAAAGAGAAAGCCAAGUUGGGACGCAGUGAAGAACGGGAUAAAGAAGAACUUGAGGAUCUGAAGUUUUCACUUGAGAGUCAGAAACAAAGGAAUCUUCAGCUAAAUCUACUUUUGGAACAACAGAAACAACUACUGAACGAAUCCCAGCAAAAAAUAGAAUCACAGAGAAUGCUAUAUGAUGCCCAGUUGUCAGAAGAACAAGGUCGAAACUUAGAGCUUCAAGUACUUCUUGAAUCUGAGAAAGUUCGAAUUCGGGAAAUGAGUAGUACCCUAGAUAGGGAGCGGGAAUUGCACGCACAGCUGCAGAGCAGUGAUGGUACUGGACAGUCUCGGCCACCCUUGCCCUCAGAGGACCUACUGAAAGAGCUGCAGAAACAGCUAGAGGAAAAACACAGUCGCAUAGUAGAAUUGUUAAAUGAGACUGAAAAAUAUAAACUGGAUUCUUUGCAAACACGACAGCAAAUGGAAAAAGAUAGGCAGGUUCACAGGAAAACACUGCAGACAGAACAGGAGGCCAACACUGAAGGACAGAAAAAAAUGCAUGAGCUCCAGUCCAAAGUGGAAGAUCUUCAGCGCCAGCUGGAAGAGAAAAGACAACAAGUUUAUAAGUUAGACCUUGAAGGACAGCGACUACAAGGAAUCAUGCAGGAAUUCCAGAAGCAAGAACUAGAACGAGAAGAAAAACGAGAAAGUAGAAGAAUUCUGUAUCAGAACCUUAAUGAGCCAGCCACGUGGAGCUUAACCAGUGAUCGAACUAGAAAUUGGGUUCUUCAACAGAAAAUAGAAGGAGAAACAAAAGAAUCAAACUACGCUAAAUUGAUUGAAAUGAAUGGAGGAGGAACCGGCUGUAAUCAUGAAUUAGAAAUGAUCAGACAAAAGCUUCAGUGUGUAGCUUCAAAACUACAGGUUCUACCCCAGAAAGCCUCUGAGAGACUACAGUUUGAAACAGCAGAUGAUGAAGAUUUCAUUUGGGUUCAGGAAAAUAUUGAUGAAAUUAUUUUACAACUACAGAAAUUAACUGGCCAGCAAGGUGAAGAGCCCAGCUUGGUGUCCCCAAGUACUUCUUGUGGCUCAUUGACUGAAAGACUACUGAGACAAAAUGCUGAGCUGACAGGGCAUAUCAGUCAACUGACUGAAGAGAAGAAUGACUUAAGGAACAUGGUUAUGAAGCUAGAAGAGCAGAUCAGGUGGUAUCGACAGACAGGAGCUGGUAGAGAUAAUUCUUCCAGGUUUUCAUUGAAUGGUGGUGCCAACAUUGAAGCCAUCAUUGCCUCUGAAAAAGAAGUAUGGAACAGAGAAAAAUUGACUCUCCAGAAAUCUCUGAAAAGGGCAGAGGCUGAAGUAUACAAACUGAAAGCUGAACUAAGAAAUGACUCUUUACUUCAAACUCUGAGCCCUGAUUCUGAACAUGUCACUUUAAAGAGAAUUUAUGGUAAAUACUUGAGGGCAGAAAGUUUUCGAAAGGCUCUCAUUUACCAGAAGAAAUACCUGCUGCUGUUACUGGGUGGGUUCCAGGAAUGUGAAGAUGCCACCUUGGCCCUGCUUGCCCGGAUGGGGGGGCAGCCAGCUUUCACGGAUCUAGAGGUGAUCACCAAUCGCCCAAAGGGCUUCACCAGGUUUCGGUCGGCCGUCAGAGUAUCCAUUGCAAUUUCCAGAAUGAAAUUUUUGGUUCGACGGUGGCAUCGAGUCACAGGUUCUGUUUCCAUCAAUAUUAACAGAGAUGGCUUUGGACUGAAUCAAGGUGCAGAAAAGACUGACUCAUUUUACCAUUCUUCUGGUGGGCUGGAGUUAUAUGGAGAACCAAGACAUACUACGUAUCGCUCAAGAUCAGAUCUGGACUAUAUUAGGUCCCCUUUACCAUUUCAGAAUAGGUACCCAGGCGCUCCAGCUGAUUUCAAUCCUGGUUCUUUAGCAUGUUCUCAGCUUCAGAAUUACGAUCCUGACAGAGCCCUAACAGAUUAUAUCACUCGGCUAGAGGCACUGCAAAGACGACUUGGAACUGUACAGUCAGGUUCAACUACUCAAUUUCAUGCUGGCAUGAGAAGAUAAUCCUUUGAAACAUCAUUAAUUGAAGUGAUUUUAAAUAGAUUUCCUUUUGUAAAUCAAUGGUUCUUUUGUGUUUUUGUAUUGUGAAUAUUCAAUGGGACCAAUAUGAACACAGCUUAUGAUUGUAUACAAAUCCCUUGCCAGCACAUGAAAACAAACUGGAAUUUGUAUAUAUAAGCAUUGUGUAUGUAUUCAUGCACAAUAAUUAUUGAAUUACCUGUAUAUUUGUGGAAUGCUAAUUUAAAACAUUAAAUUAUAAACCUUGUGUAUUUAUCAAAUGGGUGAAAAGAUUAAACUUUUACGCAUUACAAUACUGCUGAAUGUGUAGCUCGAGGUGUCCUGCACUUUUCUUAUAAGGCUACUGAAGUUACAUGUUUUGCCUAAUAUAUUCUACUGGUGAUGAAGACAGAUAAUAUCACUUGUAGAGACCUAUUUUUGUAUAAUGGUAGAAGUUUUGAAUUUUAUGGGGUAUUUUGUCAAGUACUGAAAUAAAAAUGACUUCACCAUUUUCA